CCUACGGGUGGCAGCAGUCGAGAAUCAUUCACAAUGGGGGAAACCCUGAUGGUGCGACGCCGCGUGGGGGAAUGAAGGUCUUCGGAUUGUAAACCCCUGUCAUGUGGGAGCAAAUUAAAAAGAUAGUACCACAAGAGGAAGAGACGGCUAACUCUGUGCCAGCAGCCGCGGUAAUACAGAGGUCUCAAGCGUUGUUCGGAAUCACUGGGCGUAAGGCGUGCGUAGGCUGUUGCGUAAGUCGUGUGUGAAAGGCGCGGGCUCAACCCGCGGACGGCCCAUGAUACUGCGAGACUAGAGUAAUGGAGGGGGAACCGGAAUUCUCGGUGUAGCAGUGAAAUGCGUAGAUAUCGAGAGGAACACUCGUGGCGAAGGCGGGUUCCUGGACAUUAACUGACGCUGAGGCACGAAGGCCAGGGGAGCGAAAGGGAUUAGAUACCCUUGUAGUC
rnacentral:rRNA from 1 species